AAGUCGGGGAAGAAGAGGACGACGGUGAAUUGUUACUGCCACCGCCGGCUGGGUUGGGAGCGACCCCCACGGCAGAUGAAGCGGACACCGCCGGGGCCACGGGAGCGGCGGCGACGGAAAUUCCAUGCUUGAAUGUGCCCUGAGAUAUGAAGCAUGACAAGAACUAGCACCCAGUGGUCGUCAGAAUAAAAAUGCUUUGACAGCGGUUCCUUCAGAGGCUUGCCCCUCUCCCCCCAGCCAUCAACGCUGAAGAUGCUCCUAGGAUGGAAGGAUGGUGACUUUCCAGGCAUAAGCACUGUUUUCAGAAUCCAUACUUGUUUACUCAACAGAUGCACAUAAAGAAGCAGACAGGGAUGGGCAGGGGCAAAACACAUGUUCGAAUGCUUUGCCGUCUCAAACUUUUUUUUCUCAAUAUUUUGACAAUGUCUUAACUAUUCUCCUGUGUCUCCUCUCCUUAUUUUCAAUUUAUUUCAUAUGUUACCAUAGGAAUUUUUCUAUUAAUAUGGAUCUAGUCCUAUUUAUUGCCUCAAUCGAUCUCCGGUAACCAUGUCUGAUCUACUGAAUAAAUUCUCAAGCCCUUGGCA